rnacentral:rRNA from 1 species
AGCGACGAUCAGUAGCCGACCUGAGAGGGUGACCGGCCACAUUGGGACUGAGACACGGCCCAAACUCCUACGGGAGGCAGCAGUGGGGAAUAUUGCACAAUGGGCGGAAGCCUGAUGCAGCGACGCCGCGUGAGGAAGAAGUAUCUCGGUAUGUAAACUCUAUCAGCAGGGAAGAAAAUGACGGUACCUGACUAAGAAGCCCCGGCUAACUACGUGCCAGCAGCCGCGGUAAUACGUAGGGGGCAAGCGUUAUCCGGAUUUACUGGGUGUAAAGGGAGCGU